rnacentral:misc_RNA from 1 species
GGCGAUGGGUGCCACACACACACACACACACCCGUCCCAGCACUCCCUGCUGAACGCACGGGCGGCGCUGCGGAGCACCACCACUCCCACUUGAGGGCCUCACCAGAUCAUCCUCCUCAGCCUUUCCUCCAACACGCACGCAACCACACACAGACGUGCAGAGACGCGCAAUGAGCUCUCAUGAGCUACCGUUCCUGAUCCUCAACCUUGCAGUUGAGAUGAUUUUCGUGCUGAACUCGCGCCUGCACGCGCAGGCGGUGCCGCCGGAGGGGCGGCCAGCGUGCUAAGCGACAUCGGCACAAACAUCUUCGACACCGCCUUUGUGAACGAGCUCUUUACACCAACGGCGAUGUACUCAUCGACGUCAGUGCUCCAGGUGUUCACGGCGCUGUCGAGCAGCACCAUUAUGCGUCUCAGCGAGAACUCGAUGCGCAAGUUGUACGACCUCGUCUACAUGACGGUCAAGUACCAAAUCUUUACGCUGCGCCACCCGUUGGAGCUGCUGGAGUUGACGUUGAAUCACCUGGAUGCCGCACAAAAGAUUUUGCCGGCCGCAAUGCGACCUCUCACCAGCGCGGCGGAGGAGCGCGUGCUGCGGCUCGCCAGCACGCUCAACAUGGGUGACUGGGCGAGCACAAGGCGAUCGCUGCUCAACUUCUUCACCGGCCGCCAUGUGCGGGUGUCCAUCUUCCUCGAAAACAAGAUGCAGGACAGCACGAGCGGCGCCUUUUACAUCCCUCGCGAUGCUUUUCUGUCGCCCUCACCCGCCUGCAAGCCACCAGGGCUCGUCUACGUGGCGGAUGUGCCCCAGCCUGGCACGUUCGCCCACCCUGAUGCACACCUUCCCUACCCUCCGCAUAUACCCCUCGGGUCAUGGAGGCCGCGGAAGGGUGCCGCGCGAAUGACGAGCAACGGCUUCGACAUCUACGCCGCCUCCGCUGCUGCUGCUGGGUCGUCUAGGACGGCUACUGUGGCUGGCGCUGCAGGAGCUCAUGCCACCGUUGUCGCCGACCCGCUGCUGAGGCAGACGCUCGAGAUGCCGAUGCCGAAGAAACCGACGUUUGAGGGCGCCAGUGCCGUCACUGCCUCCACCGGCCCUCCUACGCCGCCGCCUGUUUCCGUUGCCGCCGAGGAUGAGCAGAACGCCUACGACGCCGAGGUGAACUAUCUUGCGCAGCUGAUCGGGUCCGUGAACAGAGCUCGCGGCGUGCAGUAUUUCGAGCUCGACUUGUUUCCCGACGGCACCGGCAGUAGUGGUGAGGCGGCCGCUGCCGUGCCAGUGCCCUCUGCGGCCCCGACGUCGAUCACGAACGCGGCCAGCAGCAGAGGUGCCGGCGCUUCGCCGGCGAUGCCAGUUACUCGCAUGACAGCCUCUGCGGUUCAGGAGCAGAACAAGAAGCUCCUGAGCAUCAUGAACGACUUCCAAUCACCCAAGGGGGCAGGCAGCGGUGAUGCUGGCGGUGCCGUGCCAGCCACAGGUGGCGCGUCCAUGAACGACUUGCUCGACAUCAUGGACGAGCUAUGAGGGGCCAUCCAGCACCCAAGGGGGCCGUUUAGUGAUGGAGCUGAAGGGGGAUCGUGCCACAGCAAGGGCAAGCACACUUCAAGCGAGACGUGUGGUUGCAUCGCCCUCUUCAUUCUUGCCUCUCCUCUCCUGAUUCUCUUGCUGCGGCUCGGUUUUGUGGGUCUCCUCCGCCUCCCUCAUACCCUCCCGCUGUGCCGUGCUGCCUCCCUACCCCCGCCGCGCCUCGCUCAUUUCGUGAGCCGCUUUACGUCGGAACACCCCCUCCCCCUCCGCAUACGUGCGCGGGCAUACCGGAUGCAUCCAUCUCUCACUCUCACUUUCUCUCGCCCUUCAGCGUGAUGAAGUGGAGCCACGAGCCACGUCCCCCUCCCCCUCGCCGUCCCCGCGGCGGCUUGCUGAGUGCGCGGCCACUACCGCCGCCGCCGCCGCCGUCGCCCAAUUUUCUCUUCUUCGUGCUGCCACAGCGCAAUCUGGAUGGCGCAUGACGAACGUGGGCACCCACAUGGACGUACACGUACGGGUGCAUGUGCAUGCGCAUCUUUCUAUGUAUAUCGAUGUGUGUGUGUUUAUAUGUGUCUAGGUGGCCACUC